rnacentral:lncRNA from 1 species
GGUGAUAUUUCCUGAUGCAGUUGCCAGGAGACAGGGAAGUGGUUAUCAGUCACCCUCAGGCAGGAACAGAGCAGCCUCUCAGUUACAGAUUUACCUCUGAUCCGAGACGGGAGGCAGACGUCCUUUUCUGGUCCUUGGCCGCUUGGGGAGAACACCGGAGCACCAUCGUUCCAAGGAGCAGCCGCUGAGAAACGCUGCGCUUUGGCCGACAAGCCAGAGAAACACGCCGAGCCUGUUCGGGACCCUGGAUAUUUUAUGGGACAGGGAGAAGACUAGAGUGUCAGGCAAGAAAGAGGGCAGAAGGAAAAAGUAAAGAUACGCCUGCUGUUCAGGAUAACUGCAGGCCUGUCACCCAGCUGAGAAAAAUCACAGGAAGGUGGAAGAAGCCAGAAUGCCACUGGGAGCAGAGGCUCAGGAAGGCUGUGCGCUCAGGAGGGACCGCAGCCUCCUGGCUGGCAGAGAAGCUGACCCGGUCUGCGCUGCCUUUGCGGGGAAUCCGCUCCCUUCCCGCAGCUGCGCGCUCUUGCCCGUUCCUCAAAGAGUCUCCAAGCAAAAUGCNAGCACUUCUCGGCUGCGCCGUAUAUUACAGUUCCUGCCACAAAAACAUCCCAGCUAAAGGAUAUUUGUACCCAGCCUAAUACGAACAGAACGAUCAUCAUCGGUGAGGAGGAUUUCAGCAGAUGAAGUUACCAUAGCAGCAGCUCAUCUCUCAACAGCGUUUCAGCUCCCUAGUUCUGCCAACUGCAAAACUGGCUUCACACAACCAGCUUCCGCACGCCUCCUUUUUGCAGAUCAUCUGAACCUGCAUGGUCUAGCAUGGAAAUGUAUUUAUUAUUUGGACUAAAGAUUUGAAAUUUACUGGUUGUAAUGCUUUAGAAGAGAACAUAUACAAGAUGAUGUAUAGAUGGUAUUUAACACUUUAUAACAUUUCAGAAAUGUAAGGUGUGUCGAAUAAGUGUUGGAAAUGUAAAAAGCAAGAAGGAACUUUUUACCAUAUGUGGUGGACUUGAAAAAAAAAAAAGAAGAAAAAUUGGGUGCAAAUAUUUACGGUCAUACAGAAGAUUUUAAAGACUAAUAUUCCUUUUAAGCCAGAGUUUUAUCUACUAGGGAUAAUAGAAAAUAAGUUUGAUAAGGUACUUUGAUGCAAAAUAUGGUCAUUGCAGGUAGAAUUGUGUAUGCACAAAAAUGGAAAGGAGAUAAAAUACCCAUGGUGGAUGAUUGGCUGGUUAAAAACAGGGAUCUCACAGAGAUGGACAAAUUGACUAACUUAUUGAGAAAUAAGUCUGUUGAUAAGUUUUAUAAAACCUGGAAACCCUUUACUGACUUUCUGCAAGAAUUGGAAAAAUAACUUGUUAUUGCUGUAUCUGAAGAGUGAAGAGGAAAACAGAUGGAUCGGUUGAAGAAAAGAAUUUAAAAAACAGGAGGGGCAUGAAGUCAAUAUGUAAACAAUGUUAAUCUAUAAUUUUUUC